rnacentral:lncRNA from 1 species
CUUGCCUCUCUACCUCUCGCAUUGCCUUUCCAAAAAGAGAGAGUACUUGAUCUGCAAUUUUUGAAGUGCAGAGAGGUCUGGCAGCCAGGGAUGAAAACGGAUCGGGUAUAGAUUGGGUCGGUCAACAUCCAUACUCAUAUCACAAUUAAAAAUUUUAUAUCCAUACCCGCUUCGUACUUGUCUCAGGUCGGAUCGGAUCAAAUCAAUUAGAGAUGUAGUGUCACAC